rnacentral:rRNA from 1 species
CGGCCGCGUCGACCGGGGGCCCGCACAAGCAGUGGAGUAUGUGGUUUAAUUCGAAGCAACGCGAAGAACCUUACCAGGUCUUGACAUCCGAUGCAUAGCCCAGAGAUGGGUGAAGUCCUUCGGGACAUCGAGACAGGUGGUGCAUGGUUGUCGUCAGCUCGUGUCGUGAGAUGUUGGGUUAAGUCCCGCAACGAGCGCAACCCUUAUCGUCAGUUACUACGCAAGAGGACUCUGGCGAGGCUGCCGUUGACAAAACGGAGGAAGGUGGGGAUGACGUCAAAUCAUCAUGCCCUUUAUGACCUGGGCUACACACGU